UCUACUUUUUAAAAUUGCACAGCCCGGCCCAGCUAUAACCAACUACGGCCCCUACAGUCUCAGUUCCCGCCGUCCAGUUCUCCACACCAAAUCUGUCCAAGGGACAUUGGUAGUCAAUAUCAACUUCAUGUUGAUAGCCCUGCUGCCAUCCGGCAAAUACCUGCCCCGCCGCAAUCAACUAUAUGGGCUAGGCACAAAGACUCUCCUGAUGAAGAAGACUCGCCAAGCACUGUUGUGCAGACUACUCCUCGCACUAUAGGCAGCUGCUCACAGAGGGCUGGCAAGACUGCAGCCCUGACCAAGAUGACUGCCAAUUUUGAUUAGAUCUUUUGCGAUCUAUGGUUAUGAAAGCGAAGGGUACGUUGCCUCUUGGUUGCAAAAUUUCCUCUUCAAAAUCUCAGAAUAAAACUCAGGACAGUAAAUCUUCAGAGAAGACUUGCAGAACGUUCGACUGUUGUUUUAAAAGAAUUUUAAAAGUUGGCAUCUGGUAAUGCUGGAGGAUCUCUGCAGCUGUGGCGUCUAAUAUGCGCUGCAAGCUUCACAAUGAAGAAGACACCAGCUGAGAGGUCAUAUGUCUCAGCACUUUGCAGAAUACUUGUCAUACUCCAUUUUCGGGUGUCAGAGUAAGGUGUGACAAAAUUAAUGAGAAAACUCUUGAAUCAGGCGGCCGAAACUGUAUCACUAGAGAAAGACCUUAGUAAAGGAGUUGAAACAGAUGGCUGAACGAUUCAAGUCAGUGGACAAGCAACCAGAAGAGGAGCUAUUGGAUGAUCAAUCAAGAUUUAUUUUAGGGACUUUGGAAAUCAAUGUCAACUUUGAUGUUGAUAGCCCCGCUGCAAUGCUACAAACACCAGCCCCGCCGCAAUCAACUAGACCAUCUCGUUCUAGAAGAUGGCUAGGCACGAACUCUUCUGAUUAAGAAGACUCACCAACCACUGCUGUUCAGCCUGCUCCUCCCACUAUAGGUAGCUGAUCACAGAUGGCAAGCAGGACUGCUGCCCUGACCAAGAUGACUGUCAAUGCAACCAUUAGGAAUUGCUGAAUAUGAUGAAGAGGAAGAAGAUUCUGAGGUGACAUCAGGGGAAGAUUCGUAUGACUGUCCAUUAUGCUGAAUGAGCAUUUUACAAAUUUUCCUUGCAAAUAUCGUGCUGUCUCAGCACUAUAAUCUGUUGUAUCCUUAUUGUCUUUUUUAAUGCUGGGUUUUGUAUGGAAGUUAUAUACGUUCGGUAGCUCUUUUGUAGUGUUCAUUUUACUUUGGGGGGUUGGACAUCCUGCCAGUAAAAUCACCUCUAAACUACUUAAUUGUAUGAAUCUUAAUUCAUCUAUGAGAUUGUAGUAAGUUCUCAUGA